GAAAUUCUUAUUUUCAAUGAUGGCCUAGGAACAGUGGGUUAACUGCCUUGUUCAGGGGCAGAAUGACAGAUUUGUAUCUUGUCAGCUCGGGGAUUUGAAAUUGCAACCUUUCAGUUACUAGCCCAACGCUCUAACCACUAAGCUACCUUGCCACUAGGCUACCCUGCCGCAAUGCAGAUGAAAUCAAUGACAUUCAAAGAACCUGAGCAACAGGAUACUGAUCUUCAAACCUGCAACACAAUGCUUUCGAUAAAAAUGAAGGUUAGUUGUUGAAUGCAUGACAGGGUGAUUCAUGUAUCAGUUGGAUUGACUUAUACAGUAGGGAAAGGGGGAUACCUAGUCAGUUGUCCAACUGAAAUGUGUCUUACACAUUUAACCCAAACCCUCUGAAUCAGAGAGGUGCAGGGAACUGCCUUAAUCAACAUCCACGGUACACGGGGAACAGUGGGUUAACUGCCUUGCUCAGGAGCAGAACAACAUCGUUUUACCUUGUCAGCUCGGGGAUUCGAUCCAGCAACCUUCCGGUUACUAGCCAAACACUAACCACUUGGCUACCUGCUGCACCUUGUUAAAAGAAGUGUUUUGGGGAAAAACAAUAUUCUGUUCUCCAGUAGGUCCCCCUUACUGGCUCUGACCUUGCCGAUAGCUACUUUAUUGAGGAAAAAUGUACUUACUAUUACUGAGAUGAAUGCACUAACUGUAAGUCGCUCUGGAUGAGAGUGUCUGCUAAAUGUCUAAAAUGUAAAAUGUCUCCCCUGGUUCUGUUUGUCCCUCCCUGCAUCAGGUUUACAGGAAGCAGAGUAUAGUACAGGGGAAGUGAAUGAUAACAUUAGGCUGUUUGUACAACACCAGAUUAAGUGCUGAGCUAUCAUACUGGAAACUGGAAGGCAUGGCCAGAAGGGAUCAGACAGCAGACUACCAGAGAAGUAGUUGGAGCUCUAACAACCAGUGGGGAAAGAGGGGGAGGGGCAUCUUCUCUAGUGAGAUGACAAUCGGAUUAGACAAACAACCAUUAUCCCCACUCCCGUGCCCCUCGCUCCAUCCCCCUCCCCAGAGUGCCUGCUUGUAUCCCGUGGUUUGUUUGGCCUCUCUCACUGCCUCAGAUGGGUGGUAGGGAUCCCAGUCGUCUCUGGGACGUUAGAGACAGUCUGAAGGGUCUGGGAUGCAGGUACUGAAGUCAUGCAAGACCUGAGCCAGAUUCCAAGUGGAUGAAUAAAGUCAAAAGGCUGAAGUCCAAAACCACCACAAAUAAAGUGUCACAUUUACUGAUGACAAAAGUUGGAGUCUUACAAUAAAACGGUAUCUUUAAA
rnacentral:lncRNA from 8 species